CCCAACAAGUUAAAGUCAGUGUUUCCUUUGCACUGGCCAAAAUGGCUGCCACAGUUUACCUGUAGUUCAUGGGCCCUGCAGCUUUUUUUACAUGGAUUCUGGGGAUACAUUUGUACUACAUACAAUC
rnacentral:snoRNA from 2 species